UGCAGCAACAUGGACGGGCCUGGAGAUGAUCACACGAAGUGAACACAGACUGUGGCCCUCUAGGCUCCUCUGUCCAUGGGAUUCUCCAGGCAAGGAUAUUGGAGUGAGCUGCCAUUUCCUUCUCCAGAGGAUCUUCCCAACCCAGGAAUCAAGCCCACGUUUCUUGUGUCUCCUGCAUUAGCAGAUGGAUUCUUUACCACUGAGCCACCAGCGAAGCCCACAGAAUAGAUACAAAGACCUGGAAGCCCUUGAAAGCCAUUUGCUCGAGCAGGCAGUCUCCGGAACCUGGCACGAGCCUUCCUGGCUGCCCACAGUGGGGUGGCCCCAGGUACGUGCGGAAGAUUGAGGACUGCAGGAGGAGGGCCAGGCCCACCAGCAGCUGAGAAGACCAGCCAGGUGUGGAUAGAAUUACAG
ensembl:lncRNA